rnacentral:rRNA from 1 species
ACGUAGGGUGCAAGCGUUAAUCGGAAUUACUGGGCGUAAAGCGAGCGCAGGCGGUUAUGUAAGACAGAUGUGAAAUCCCCGGGCUUAACCUGGGAACUGCAUUUGUGACUGCAUAGCUAGAGUGUGUCAGAGGGGGGUGGAAUUCCACGUGUAGCAGUGAAAUGCGUAGAGAUGUGGAGGAACACCGAUGGCGAAGGCAGCCCCCUGGGAUAACACUGACGCUCAUGCUCGAAAGCGUGGGGAGCAAACAGGAUUAGAUACCCUGGUAGUCCACGCCCUAAACGAUGUCUACUAGUUGUCGGGCCUUAAUUGGCUUGGUAACGCAGCUAACGCGUGAAGUAGACCGCCUGGGGAGUACGGUCGCAAGAUUA